AUUGAACGCUGGCGGCAGGCCUAACACAUGCAAGUCGAGCGAGCGGCGGACGGGUGAGUAAUAUCUGGGAAACUGCCUGAUGGGGGGGGCUACCUACUGGAAACGGUAGCUAAUACCGCAUACCCUCAGAUGUGCCCCGAUGGGAUUAGCUAGUGGGUGGGGUAACGGCUCACCUAGGCGACGAUCCCUAGCUGGGCUGAGAGGAUGACCAGCCACACUGGAACUGAGACACGGUCCAGACUCCUACGGGAGGCAGCAGUGGGGAAUAUUGCACAAUGGGCGCAAGCCUGAUGCAGCCAUGCGGCGUGUGUGAAGAAGGCCUUCGGGUUGUAAAGCACUUUAAGCGGGGAGGCGUUACCCGCAGAAGAAGCACCGGCUAACUCCGUGCCAGCAGCCGCGGUAAUAC
rnacentral:rRNA from 1 species